rnacentral:rRNA from 1 species
UACGGGAGGCAGCAGUGGGGAAUAUUGCACAAUGGGCGCAAGCCUGAUGCAGCCAUGCCGCGUGUAUGAAAAAGGCCUUCGGGUUGUAAAGUACUUUCAGUCGUGAGGAAGGUGUUAAGGUUAAUAACCUUAGCAAUUGACGUUAGCGACAGAAGAAGCACCGGCUAACUCCGUGCCAGCAGCCGCGGUAAUACGGAGGGUGCGAGCGUUAAUCGGAAUUACUGGGCGUAAAGGGCACGCAGGCGGUUAAUUAAGUUGGAUGUGAAAUCCCCGGGCUUAACCUGGGAAUGGCAUUCAAGACUGGUUAGCUAGAGUCUUGUAGAGGGGGUUAGAAUUCCAUGUGUAGCGGUGAAAUGCGUAGAGAUGUGGAGGAAUACCGGUGGCGAAGGCGGCCCCUGGACAAAGACUGACGCUCAUGUGCGAAAGCGUGGGGAGCAAA